CUUCGAUGGAACAUCUGGAUACUUACUCUGCACGGUAUGAAACAGCAGGAUCUUUGGCAGCAUCUGUUCCCGUAUUUUAUGUACCUUCAUGUACCUUGAGGGAAACUGGACAAGUUCCUUCCUUACAUCCUGGCUCAGUAUGAAGUCACACCCAUCUUCGCAACCUCCAGCUCCAGGUCUGAACUCUGCACAAGUGAGUGAGGGUGGCAGAAGAAGAGAGGGCAGCAAGGGUGUUGUCUCCGCAAGGGCAGCAAACCACCCACAAACCACCGUGACCUCCCCCCUCCCAGCCCUGCCUUCUGAGCCCUGGUGCCAGCCUCCUGUCCCUGCUCAGCCCUCGCAGGCAACAGAUGGUGCCUUGAAGACAAGCCCUGGGUCCCAGCCCGGGUACGGAUGUCAGCUGUGGCGGGACUCCCCUUUCACUCUCCGGCCCGGCGGCCAGGGCAGCCCCCAGUCAUCACCUGGCCCAGCAGGCUUGGCGGGGCUAGCAGAGUGAGCCCAAAGAAGCCAC